rfam:Strongylocentrotus purpuratus Contig117626_fixed, whole genome shotgun sequence.
CAAACAGUCCUUUUCAGGACUACACACACCCCCAAGAAAGAUUAC